UAGUCCCUGCUGCCUCUGUUAUUGCAGCCAAAGGCUGGGAGUAGCAGCAGCGACAAGGGCAGCUCUGGCUGUGCGAGGGGCUUCGCGCAGUGCCGCUUCCCGGGUGCGUGCGGGGAGAGCGCUGGAGCCCCUUCCGCAGAGCCUGGCCAUGCACAGGGAUUCAGCCGCCGCCUCCACCAGCAGGAACUUUCCUGGCAGGAGCCUAAUGGCUGCGAAGGGGGAAAUCUAAGAACAAAGUCUUCGCCUCCAGCCCAGGCGCCGGGGAGAGGGAGAUCCGGCAGCAAUGAGCCCAGGGGCUGCUUGGCACUGAUGUCUCCGUGCCUCCCCUCGGCGGGAGGACUGAGAAUCCCUGGCUUACCUUCCUGCUCCUCCCCUGGGGCACAGCCGAGCGAGUGAGCGAGGCAGGGGCGGCAGAGGGGCAGCGGCUCCCCCGGGGGUGCUUUGAAACUGACUUCGAAACUUCCACGGGGCCAGGGCUCCCCGGCCCGCCGGUCGCACCCCGCCGCCUCCCCACCCGCCGGCGUUCCCACGGAGAGCCCGUUUGGCCGCGGGUUUGGGGGAGUGUGUGAAUUUUUAAACUCUCCCCUGCCGGUGUCAUGGCGGUGAAAGGGGCUGCGGCAGGUACCGGAAUGUUGUUAGUAACAGCCAACGUUGGAUCCCUCUUUGAUGAUCCAGAAAAUUUACAGAAGAAUUGGCUUCGGGAAUUUUAUCAGAUUGUACAUACACACAAGCCACACUUUAUGGCUUUACAUUGUCAAGAGUUUGGUGGAAAAAACUAUGAAGCUUCCAUGUCUCAUGUGGACAAGUUUGUUAAAGAAUUGUUAUCAAGUGAUGCAAUGAAAGACUAUAACAGAGCCCGGGUUUACCUGGAUGAGAACUACAAGUCACAGGAACAUUUUACGGCUCUAGGAAGCUUUUACUUUCUUCAUGAAUCCUUGAAAAACAUCUACCAGUUUGAUUUUAAAGCCAAGAAGUAUAAAAAGGUUACUGGCAAAGAAAUCUACUCAGAUACAUUAGAAAGCACACCCAUGCUGGAAAAAGAGAAGUUUCCACAGGAUUAUUUCCCUGAGUGUAAAUGGUCCAGAAAAGGCUUCAUUCGCACAAGAUGGUGUAUUACUGAUUGUGCCUUUGACUUGGUAAACAUUCAUCUUUUCCAUGAUGCUUCCAAUUUAAUUGCUUGGGAAACAAGCCCAUCGGUUUACUCAGGAAUACGACAUAAGGCUCUUGGUUAUGUACUUGAUAGAAUUAGAGAUCAGCGGUUUGAGAAGGUUUCAUAUUUUGUGUUUGGAGAUUUCAACUUUCGACUGGAUUCCAAAUCAGUAGUAGAGACACUUUGUACAAAGGCUACAAUGCAGACUAUCCGAGCAGCUGACACCAAUGAAGUAGUCAAGCUAAUAUUCCGUGAAUCUGAUAAUGACCGAAAGGUUAUGUUACAGUUAGAAAAGAAGCUCUUUGACUAUUUUAAUCAAGAUGUUUUUAGAGACAACAAUGGCACUGCGCUUUUAGAAUUUGACAAAGAGCUGUCUGUCUUUAAAGAUAAAUUGUAUGAACUGGACAUCUCAUUUCCACCCAGUUAUCCAUACAGUGAAGAUUGUAGCCAGGGAAAGCAGUACAUGAAUACUAGAUGUCCAGCUUGGUGUGACAGAAUUCUGAUGUCGCACUCAGCCAAGGAACUGAUUCUAAAAUCAGAAAAUGAUGAGAAGAUAGUGAUUUAUGACCAUAUUGGGCCAAAUGUCUGCAUGGGGGAUCACAAGGAAAAAGAUGCCCUCGAAAUGAGAAGAUCUUUCGUGAAACCACCCUGUAGCAUGGAGGAGGAAAGAAUAAGCAGUAUAUUGAAAUGCAUAAUCCUAACAGCUGUAUUGAUAAAUCAAGUCUUGAGUGCCACAUUUUUAGACUGCUGAUCGUACACUAUGCUUCAGCAUCUGGACUCUGUUCGGGAAAAGCCUCACAUACCUCACUGUCUUGUAUGUUCAUGUGACAUCAAGUAGAAAUGUGGAAUUAUAUAUAUAUAUAUAUAUAUAUAAAAUAUGUCACGGUUCUGUUGCCAAAACUCUAAUAGACAGCAGAGAUGUUCUGUAUUUUAGAUUUCACAAUUUUCAACUUUUAAUAAGUGUUUGUCAAUGUGGAAAAGCUACUUCAGCACAUUUUAAACUUUUAAAGGUGUCAUGCCUAACAUUAUAUAUCUGUACCAUUUGGGGGUUUUGUACAUUGGAUUAUAUAGAUAGAGAUUUUGAUGGUUUUAAAUGGUAUUUUCUUCAUUGACCAAGGCUUAUGGUUUGUUUUAGUUUUAGAAUUUUGUUUUGUUUUUCAUUUUUUAUAGAUUUUUUUCCUCAUGUUAUUUACUAUUCUGCCAUGUAACAUGGUUUUGAAUCACACAGCAGCUGCUUUCUAUACAUACAUAUGUGUGUGUCUAUAUAUAUAUAUGUAUGUGUGUGUAUAUAUACACAGAUAUAUAAAUAAUUUAUAAACCUUACCAAAACGUAUGCUAAAUAUACUUUCCAUUAUGACUGCUUGAGAGUGCCAUAUCAGCAAUUAGUGUUGGAGUCUAGCAGUUUUAGUUAAGUGUACAUCAACAUUUAUAAAACAAAUAAUAUAUAGCAGUGCCAUCAUCAAUACAGAUAUAUAGUAUACUAUAUAGCACAUAUAUUAGCAGUUUCACUUUGUUACUCCUAUAAUACCUUCUUUCUAAGUACUAUUAAGGACUGAAUGUGAAGUCUCUAGUUAGAUUUGGGUGUACCUUUCAAGAAUUUUGUAAACUGUUUUUGUCUGUCUUUUGUUACUGUUUUAUGGUGCCAAGUAUUGUAUAUUAAAACAAUAACAACAUGGGAGAAGAAAAUUAGAAGUCUGUUUCAGAUAGCAUCUGCACCCAACACAGACUGUAUUUAUACAAAGUGUUAGCGAAAAGGACUGUAAAUUUUCUUACUUAGUAGCUAUGUGCAACCUGCAACAUAACCUUGUUAUGAACAUUUUUCUCCCACCACAAAGUACAACAUUAAAAGGUGAUUAGAGAGUCUGUUGAUGAAACACAAAUGUAUGUUUUAUUGAUUUAAUUUAGAACACUACAGAGUUCAUGGACUGUGUGAUGGCAUUAGAUUGAUGCUUGAUUUUGGUAUAAAUCACUACCAUUGAAAAUGAUUUGAUGUCCGCUUGCAGAAUUUGUUUUCACGACAAUACAGUCUGGGUUUGUAUUAAGUACUGUUGUUCAUAGGGUUUCUGCAGCUCUGUAAUGUCAAUGUGCCAUGUUGCAAUAUAACCACCUGGUAAUUCUAUUUAACACAAAUAGAGAUUCAACUCAUGGUAACUUUGAAGGCCUUUAGAAAUGAGUACUCUGGUUCUCAAGCAAUAAAUCUGAUCAUAAUGAAAAA